UACGAAGGGGGCUAGCGUUGCUCGGAUUUACUGGGCGUAAAGGGCGCGUAGGCGGACAGUUUAGUCAGAGGUGAAAGCCCAGGGCUCAACCUUGGAAUUGCCUUUGAUACUGGCUGUCUUGAGUACGGGAGAGGUGAGUGGAACUCCGAGUGUAGAGGUGAAAUUCGUAGAUAUUCGGAAGAACCCCAGUGGCGAAGGCGACUCACUGGCCCGUUACUGACGCUGAGGCGCGAAAGCGUGGGGAGCAAACAGG
rnacentral:rRNA from 1 species